GGCGAAAGGAGCUGCGGGGGCUGGAGGGGAGUGAAUUCGUGCCGCUGCCCUCCGGGAUGCUCUUGGUCUCUCCUACCCUGGACUUCAGCAUCUUUUACUGAAAGGCAGUCAAGAACAAGGAAAAUGAGUGACUGGAAUUUGCAAUUUGUAAGAGUCUGAUUCCUUGUCACAGCUCUCUGCUUGUUCCUCUCAGAAAUGAUCAUGUAAGUAAGCAGAGAAAAAGCUGCAGACUGUAGAAGCUCAGAUGUGUUUAGGUGAUGAAAUUGUCCCCAUAGGCCUUGUGAGGAAGUAUUUCAUCUUGAGUAUCAAGAGCUGACUUGGGUGUGGUGAGUGACUCUAGUUUUCUCUCUCCCUAUCAAUACAGAAUCAAUUGGAGGGGAAAAGUGUUUGGUGUUCCCUAUUUAAAUAAGUCCAUAAUUUAACGACUCAAGCAGUUUUUGUUUAGUUGUGUCCAACUCUUUUGAGAACCCUUGGACUGUAGCCCACCAGGCUCCUCUGUCCAUGGUUUUCCCAGGCCAGAAUACUGGAGUGAGUUGCCAUUUCAUUCUCCAGGGGAACCUU